CGGAGGCGCGCAGCGCGGGAGGCGGCUCGCGGGGGCGCGCCAGGACGCUCAAGCAAACAGUAGCGGCUGGAGCCGGCACCCGCCCCGCCCCGCAGGCCCCGCCCCACCCCGCGCGUCGGCCAAUCGGGUCCUGCGGACGGCACGUGACUAGCGGGUCGCCAUCUUGAAAGGCUGGCUAAAAAAGCCUCUUCGCCCCCACCUCAUACUUCAAAACCCCCAAGGCCAGGUUGCAGGUGAAAAGGGGCACGACCUCAGGUGCCCGGGCGGCGGCGCGCACUAACAUGUCAUGGUUACCUUCUUAGGGCCGCGGCCUUUGUGGGGCACGCAGCCUCUCAGGCAGCCGAGGUGAGAAGACCGCUCUCAGCCCAGCAAGCACACUUCCCGGAGAUGACGUCACUCCCGAGCCCUGCAGGCCUGCGAUGACCUCAUAGCUCACCUCGCCUCUCGACUCUCGUUUUCUGUUCCGUUUCGCGGCGCCUUUAAAAAGCUGGGACAACCCAGAUGGCUGAAGAGACCAAUGGCUGAGGUCCCAUGCAAAUGAUUUAACGUCUCCCGGGCAGGGGGAUUGGUCCUGCGUAUGAUGACGUCACAGAAACAUUUCGCCACCCCGCCUCCAGCGCGGCCCGGGAAAAGGGGUGGAGAGACUCUAGUUCAGCAGUAGUAGGAAGAGCUGGAAUCCCUUGUACCAAACCCAGGGAAGUUUCUGCACUUUAGUUCUCUAUGCCUCCCAACACGUGUGAGCCUAGGGAUUAUGACAAGGAGUCCACUAUACCCUAGAGGAGAGUCACUCCACCAGGACCGGUGGAUCAAUGUGAGUUCGAGAACAGACUGGUCUACAUAGCUACAGAGACCUUGUCUUCAAAAGACAAACAACAAAGUAUCACACACCAGGAAACACAGCUGAGAGAAGAGAUGGAGCAGACAUCGGUCUCCCCUUAGACUGUCCUCCAGGCAAACGUACAAAGUGGGGUAUGGUGUCUGCACCGAUUAUAUAAGCUUCUGCAUCUAUCUGCAUUACCUAAAGCACUCAUGUCUACUAGGAUGGUCUGUAGUAACUGGAUUCUUCCAGCGCCCACCAACCUAGAACAAGGUGUCAGUAGAAAAUGGCAACAUUUGUUAAACCUCUGUGGCUACAGACUGGUGACACUCUGUAUUUUGUAGAUGUAUCCCAUAAUCUCAAAUACUAAAAAAAUCAAACUAAUUUGCU
rnacentral:lncRNA from 1 species